rnacentral:rRNA from 1 species
AGCAUAUCAAUAAGCGGGAGGAAAAGAAACCCACAGGGAUUGCCCUAGUAACGGCGAGUGAAGCGGCAACAGCUCAAAUUUGAAAUCUGGCUCUAUUUUGGAGUCCGAGUUGUAAUUUGUAGAGGGCGCUUUGGCGUCGGCAGCGGUAAAAAAAACUUGGAACAGGACGUCACAGAGGGUGAGAAUCCCGUACGUGGUCGCGUGCCUUCGCCGUGUAAAGCCCCUUCGACGAGUCGAGUUGUUUGGGAAUGCAGCUCUAAAUGGGAGGUAAAUUUCUUCUAAAGCUAAAUACUGGCCAGAGACCGAUAGCGCACAAGUAGAGUGAUCGAAAGAUGAAAAGCACUUUGGAAAGAGAGUC